rnacentral:lncRNA from 1 species
CCUGAGGAAGGACCAGCGGGACGCCUGCAUCAAGGAGGCCAUUCUCUUGCACUUCUCCACCGACCCAGUGGCCGCCUCCAUCAUGAAGAUCUACACGUUCAACAAAGACCAGGACCGGGUGAAGCUGGGUGUGGACACCAUUGCCAAGUGAGCGUGUGGCCCCUUUGCCCUGCCUGGCCCCUCCAGCUCAUCCCAGCACCCCUCCCACUGGGGCUGUCACCCCCUCUGGCCCCCUCAUUACCUGCUGAGGUGGGUUGGGAAGGAGCAUAGGCCGAGAGUGAGGCAGCUCCACCCAGAGGCCUCAGGCAAAGGGCUGGGCCUCCUUGGGCCUCAGUUUACCCGUGUGCAAAAUGAAGGUGUUGAAGGAAUCAGGGGUUUCCCACCCUGGCUUCCUUGGGGAACAUGUGGAGGAGGCAGGGUCCCACCCCACUCCCCGGGUCUCAGGAUCGGGGGCAGGCCUGGAGGUCCACGCUGCCCGCCAACGCCGAGGGAGCACCCCGCAGGAGCCCCCUGCUGGCACUGCGGCCCUUCAGCUCUGGCUCUCCACUCUUCCGGCACUGUGGCUUCCCCACCGCUGUGGUUAAUUGUGCCCUUCCAGGGCUGGUGGGACGGUGAGGGGUUCCGUG